CCUACGGGAGGCAGCAGUGGGGAAUAUUGCUCAAUGGGGGAAACCCUGAUGCAGCAACGCCGCGUGAGGGAAGAAGGAUUUCGGAAUGUAAAGCUCUAUCGUCAGGGAAGAAAAUGACGGUACCUGAGUAAGAAGCACCGGCUAAAUACGUGCCAGCAGCCGCGGUAAUACGGAGGGAGCAAGCGUUAUCCGGAUUUACUGGGCGUAAAGGGAGCGUAGGCGGGCUUCUAAGUCUGAUGUGAAAUACCGGGGCUUAACCCCGGGGCUGCAUUUGAAACUGGAAGGCUGGAGUGCCGGAGAGGUAGGUGGAAUUCUUAGUGUAGCGGUGAAAUGCGUAGAUAUCAGGAGGAACACCAGUGGCGAAGGCGGCCUGCUGGAACGUUACUGACGCUGAGGCACGAAAGCGUGGGGAGCAAACAGGAUUAGAUACCCGAGUAGUC
rnacentral:rRNA from 1 species